UACGUAGGUGUCGAGCGUUGUCCGGAUUUAUUGGGCGUAAAGAGCGUGUAGGCGGUCAGGUAGGUCCGUUGUGAAAACUCGAGGCUCAACCUCGAGACGCCGAUGGAAACCAUCUGACUAGAGUCCGGAAGAGGAGAGUGGAAUUCCUGGUGUAGCGGUGAAAUGCGCAGAUAUCGGGAGGAACACCUGUGGCGAAAGCGGCGCACUGGACCAUAACUGACGCUGAGGCGCGAAAGCUAGGGGAGCAAACAGG
rnacentral:rRNA from 1 species